UUUGGUGGCUUGGCGCGGGGGUCACACCCGUUCUCAUUCCGAACACGGAAGUUAAGCCCCGUAGCGGCGAUGGUAGUUGGGGUACAACCCAGCGAGAGUAGCUAGCCGCCAGAA
rnacentral:rRNA from 1 species